rnacentral:rRNA from 1 species
GACGAACCGAGCGAACGUUGUUCGGAAUCACUGGGCUUAAAGGGCGCGUAGGCGGGCUCUCAAGUCCGGGGUGAAAUCCCACAGCUCAACUGUGGAACUGCCUCGGAUACUGGGGGUCUCGAGGGUGGUAGGGGUAUGCGGAACUAUCGGUGGAGCGGUGAAAUGCGUUGAUAUCGAUAGGAACUCCGGUGGCGAAGGCGGCAUACUGGACCACAUCUGACGCUGAGGCGCGAAGGUCAGGGGAGCAAACGGG